rnacentral:tRNA from 5 species
CGGGCUAUAGCGCAGUCUGGUAGCGCGUUCGUCUGGGGGACGAGAGGUCGCAGGUUCGAACCCUGCUAGCCCGACCA